CCGGCCUUGAACUACAUUUCCCACAGCCCCUCGGCCGCUUUUGGAAACAACUUUGCCUGUCUGGUUCUCCUGCGAAACCCUCAAAAGUCGUCGCGCUCCAAGUGGGCAAGGGAGUCUGGGCGCGGCGGGCGCUCAGUGCAGUUCUCUGGAUGAAGAACCCCGAGGAAAGGAAAACAUUACUGAGCAUAUCUGAAAACUAAGCUCAAGGUCAGGGAUUUUGUUGUUGUACUUGUUGUUUUUGUUUUUCAGAACAGGAAGUUUUUGCUCUCCUUCUAUUGAAAUGGUUAGGUAACUAUCAGGCAGGGCCUUGAGAUGUACUUUGACUAACAGAAUGUGGUGGAAGUGACACUGUGAAACUUCCCAGACAAAGCCUUAGGACGGCUUGCAGCUUUUGUCCUUUCCCUCCUCCUGCCCUGAGAACACCAUGUGCUGAAGGCUAAGACUAGCUUGCUUGAAGAUGAAACGUCACUUGGAGACAGUGGCCCAGCUGACAGUCAUCAACAACUGCCAGCUAUUUCAGUGAGACCAUCUUGGACCAUCCAGCCCCCACCAAGCCACCAGCAGGCUGCUAUAACUUAAGGGAGAUCAGCAGAAGAACCGUUUAGCCAAGCCAAGUGCAAAUUGCCGACCCCCAGAAUAAUGAGCUAAUUACUGUUUUUUGUUUUAAGCCACACACUUUUGGUGUAGUUACAUAGUAAUAGAUAACUGAAACAGGUAUAAGACUUUCUAGACUUUUCUGUCACUCUAUAUUGAUGUAAUUGUAUUGGUCAACUUGUUUUGUAAAGUGAUUUCUCUGCUAUUAUAGCUUGAAAAUAUUCCAUAUCCUUAAUUAUUUUCUGCAAUUUUGCAUUUGUCUUAGUAUUCUAUAACAUGGAUAUUUUGUAAUUUAUUUAACUAAUAACUUUCCUGAGCAACUCAUCUUUGCUGUCCAACUUCCCAUGUCUUCACCAACUUUACAUUCCAUUCCAGGACCUUAUAGGGACAUGGGUUCAUGUCAUUUCAGGAGCAUGUAGACUCAGGAAUGUGGCAUUGACUUCUGCUGAGUGGAGUAUAGGUGACUCCCCCCACUCAGAGGAAUUUAUUCAAGUGUGUGAUAUAGGACCUAUAUACAUUUACACAUUUAUUUAAUCAACUGGGUCUCCCUGAUUACAAUAUCUCUUUUUCCUUUUCCAAUUCAAAAUCUGCAUUCUGGAGCCAUCUUACUUUCUUCACCAUGACUCACUGGGGAAUGUGACUCUUUAGGGUGCUUAGCUAAUUUUCUGAAGGAUUGCUUUAAGAUUCCUAGAGGUGGAAAUGGGCCUCUGUGCUGUGUUAUUUCUGAAGUGUCAUCAUCCUGAUCCUUCAGAUUACUUUUUACUUCCUUUUCUGCCUGAUGAUCAAGGGAAUGGUCUGGAUUUCUGCAUAGCCACAUCAGGCCUAAGUCCCAUUUCUUCUCCUCUGUGUAGGAUUUAUUAUUAAUUAAUUAAUUUCCGAGGCAGAUUUGAUUUCCUUGUUGGAACAAUGGCUGGUGGAGAGGUUGACAGUGAGAGAGCUGAGCCUAGGUAGGUGAGGGGCAAGCAGUAAGAGGGAAUCCUUGUGUAUAAAACCUUAGGACUCAAUGUAGUAUUGGUACUACUUUAAGGUAGUACUCGUGUUACUCAUCUGACAGAUUUCAUGUCUAUGAAGAAAGCUGAGGCCUCUUCAGCCAGAAUUCAAACCACAACACUGUACAUCACGUAUCAUAUACACAUCUCCUAUUAUGUCUUCUGCCUUCAAAGAUGGAAGAAUUAGCUCUGUUAUAUUUUCUGAUUGUAAAAUUAGUAGCUUCUUAAUUCAGAAAUUUAGUGAAUACGGAAAAGCUUAAAGUAAAGCUCACCUAGAAACAGCUUUUUUGAACAUGUUAUUCCAAAUCAUUUCACCUGUUUCUCUGUGAAUUAGCACAUGGAUAUAGGUAAAUAGGAUUCUUUCAUUCAAAACAAAAUCAUACUGCCUUGUAAUCUGCCUUCUUCAUCUAACAAAAUAUAGGUGCAUAUAGAUUUUCAUGUCAUCAAAUUACAAACUGUGUUAUAAUUUUUUAACUACAUUGUCUGGAUAUACUAUAAUUUAUUUAACCAUUUCCCUAUUGUAGAAUAUUUAAGUUCUUUCUGGCUUUUCCUCAUUAUUAUGCAGUGUUUUACUGCACACUCCUUUUUGUGUACAUGUAUAGUUACAUCUUUUGGACAAAGUCUCAGAAAUAUUGUUGAGAAUGAGGCUUUCAUAGUUAAAACCUGAUUGUACAUCUUUAUCAGUUGCCCUGCUUAAAUUUUCACCAAUAUUCAACAUACAAUGAAAGUGUCAAUUCUACUAAUAUAGGCUAUCAUCAGUCUUUUAAAUGUCGCAAUUUCUAGUGGAAGUUGUGUUUGUUUAAAUGAAUUAUCCAUGCUCAGUUUUCACUCAGUGGAAUAAAAUCUAGGCUUCUGAGGCAAAAACCAGAAUUGAAAGAGAAUUGGUUUUGUAGUUAGAGAAAUGUGGAUUCAAAACAUAGAUCUGCUGGGGCCAGCCCCUUUGUGUAGUGCUUGACUUCAACACCCCUUCAGCAGCCCAGGUUCACAGGUUCAGAUCCCGGGCUCGGACCUGCACCACUGUCAGCCAUGCUGUGGUGGUGACCCACAUACAAAGUGAGGGAAGAUUGGCACAGGUGUCAGCUCAGGCCUAAUCUUUCUCAGCAAAACAAACAAACAAAACUUAAGAUCUGCCAUUUACUUUGAGCAUGUGUGAUUUCUUUUCUUUCAUUUUUAAUAAGACUUUUGUACAAUAUAGAGCAAAGAUCUUAAAAUCAUAACUUGAUGAUUUGUUUUAUAAACCCGUACAACCACCAUUUGAUAAACUUUUCAACAUCCCAGAAAGCUCCCUCAUGUCUCUUCCCAAUCAUUAUACCCAAAAGUUAAUCAUUAUUUUGACCUCUAUCACAAUAGAUUAAUUUUGUCUGACUUUGAAUCUUCUAUAAAUGGAAUCAUACAGUA